UAAAGCCGUGUGCAAUGAAAAAUGCAAGCACGGUUUAGGGAGGGGUUUUUCUUUAUUUAACUAGCAUAACAACUAGCAUAACAAAGAAAUUAUCUACUCCAU
rnacentral:ncRNA from 1 species